AUCCUCUCUCAACAGAACGCUCAACCCAGAAAUGCGCAUCAGACGCGAACCAAAAAAAAUGUGUGUGUUCGUCCCUCUCCCUCUCUCCAAAUGCGCAUCAUUUUCCUCUUCCCCCUUUUGUUCCGAUUCAUACAUCCUUCAGAAAUGUGGCCUAUACGCGAGCAGGCCAAAUGGAGAUAUCUCCGCGAUUUGUGCGUCCUUGGCUCAAGAUCGAAUGGCUUCCUUUCGAGUUUUGUUGAGGCCAGUACAGCUUGGUUCCAAUUCCAGUUACUCAUCCUUAUCGGGAAAGGAAUUCAAAUUUUGAUAAAGAAUGAAAUUUUCAGAAAGAGUAUUGAGAGGAUUUGCUGGGAAGGAAGGAACCAGUGGGUAAGAUCAUUGGCUUCUGCUGAAAGAAAUUUGGAGAGAAUAGUGAGUUAACAGUCAUCCAUGCAUAUUUAUAAAUAUUCGUGUUCGUUUAGAUCGAGUGUUCGCUUGAUUCUCGGCUCGCGCAAGCGCUUAUCUAGGCAUCUUUUUAUGAUGGGAAGCUCGUCGCCUUUGUUUGCUUGUUCCCGUCUCAGUACGCUGUAUCCAUAAGUCCUUACGGACUCCUUCUGUUUCUUGCACUUUGGAGAGAGAUCCAUAACGUCUCAAAAUUUGUCUUAAGCGAGUAAGGAAGUUGCAAGAGGAUCGAAGAAGAUCGGAGAGUUGAAGAAUUGGGGUCUUUAAGGCCCAAAAUUUUAUUUUUUAAAAAAAAAUUGUAUUUUGUUGUUGUUGGGCCUAACCCCUUAAUUAUUUUAUUUUUAUAUCCUUAAAGUUUAGGACAGGUACAGGUGAAGUGGGCCUAAAGCCCGCAAACAAAGGGUCCAAAUACCGGUUCAGGCGGACAGAUAACCCGGAUUUGGAACGAAAUAUCUCUCCUUGUCUCUCUC